rnacentral:rRNA from 1 species
AGCAGCCGCGGUAAUUCCAGCUCCAAUAGCGUAUAUUAAAGUUGUUGCAGUUAAAAAGCUCGUAGUUGAAUUUCGGGAUUAAUAUGUUGGUCGUGCCUUGGUACGUACUGGCAUUAUUGAUUCCUACCUUCUGAAGAACCUCGAUGUCAUUAAUUUGGUGUCUUGGGGAAUCAGGACCGUUACUUUGAAAAAAUUAGAGUGUUUAAAGCAGGCUCGCGCUUGAAUACAUUAGCAUGGAAUAAUGAAAUAGGACGUUUGAUUCUAUUUUGUUGGUUUCUAGGAUCGACGUAAUGAUUAAUAGGGAUAGUUGGGGGCAUUAGUAUUCAAUUGUCAGAGGUGAAAUUCUUAGAUUUAUUGAAGACUGACUACUGCGAAAGCAUUUGCCAAGGAUGUUUUCAUUAAUCAAGAACGAAAGUUAGGGGAUCGAAGACGAUCAGAUACCGUCGUAGUCUUAACCAUAAACUAUGCCGACUAGGGAUCGGAUGAUGUUAAUUUUUUAAUGACUCAUUCGGCGCCUUAC